rnacentral:rRNA from 1 species
CACCAUUGAAAGAGUGCGUAAUAGCUCACUGGUCGAGUGACCCCGCGCCGAAAAUGUACCGGGGCUAAACAUAUUACCGAAACUGUGGAUGAACCUCUUUAGAGGUUCGUGGUAGGAGAGCGUUCUAAGGGCGGUGAAGUCAGACCGGAAGGACUGGUGGAGCGCUUAGAAGUGAGAAUGCCGGUAUGAGUAGCGAAAGAAGGGUGAGAAUCCCUUCCACCGAAUAUCUAAGGUUUCCUGAGGAAGGCUCGUCCGCUCAGGGUUAGUCGGGACCUAAGCCGAGGCCGAUAGGCGUAGGCGAUGGACAACAGGUAGAGAUUCCUGUACCAGUGCUAAUUGUUUAACCGAUGGGGUGACACAGAAGGAUAGGGAAUCGCACGAAUGGAAAUGUGCGUCCAAGCAGUGAGUGUGAGAAGUAGGCAAAUCCGCUUCUCGCGAAGCAUGAGCUGUGAUGGGGAAGGAAAUUAAGUACGGAAGUUCCUGAUUUCACGCUGUCAAGAAAAGCCUCUAGGAAGAGUAGUACUGCCCGUACCGCAAACCGACACAGGUAGAUGAGGAGAGAAUCCUAAGGUGAGCGAGAGAACUCUCGUUAAGGAACUCGGCAAAAUGACCCCGUAACUUCGGGAGAAGGGGUGCUCUAUUAGGGUGCAAGCCCGAGAGAGCCGCAGUGAAUAGGCCCAGGCGACUGUUUAGCAAAAACACAGGUCUCUGCAAAACCGUAAGGUGACGUAUAGGGGCUGACGCCUGCCCGGUGCUGGAAGGUUAAGAGGAGUGCUUAGCUUCGGCGAAGGUACGAAUUGAAGCCCCAGUAAACGGCGGCCGUAACUAUAACGGUCCUAAGGUAGCGAAAUUCCUUGUCGGGUAAGUUCCGACCCGCACGAAAGGCGCAACGAUCUGGGCACUGUCUCAACGAGAGACUCGGUGAAAUUAUAGUACCUGUGAAGAUGCAGGUUACCCGCGACAGGACGGAAAGACCCCGUGGAGCUUUACUGCAACCUGAUAUGGAAUGUUUGUACCGCUUGUACAGGAUAGGUAGGAGCCGAAGAGACGUGUGCGCUAGCAUACGAGGAGGCAAUGGUGGGAUACUACCCUGGCUGUAUGACCAUUCUAACCCGCCACGCUUAGCGCGUGGGGAGACAGUGUCAGGUGGGCAGUUUGACUGGGGCGGUCGCCUCCUAAAGAGUAACGGAGGCGCCCAAAGGUUCCCUCAGAAUGGAUGGAAAUCAUUCGCAGAGUGUAAAGGCACAAGGGAGCUUGACUGCGAGACUGACAAGUCGAGCAGGGACGAAAGUCGGGCUUAGUGAUCCGGUGGUUCCGCAUGGAAGGGCCAUCGCUCAACGGAUAAAAGCUACCCCGGGGAUAACAGGCUUAUCUCCCCCAAGAGUCCACAUCGACGGGGAGGUUUGGCACCUCGAUGUCGGCUCGUCGCAUCCUGGGGCUGUAGUCGGUCCCAAGGGUUGGGCUGUUCGCCCAUUAAAGCGGCACGCGAGCUGGGUUCAGAACGUCGUGAGACAGUUCGGUCCCUAUCCGUCGCGGGCGCAGGAAAUUUGAGAGGAGCUGUCCUUAGUACGAGAGGACCGGGAUGGACACACCGCUGGUGUACCAGUUGUUCCGCCAGGAGCAUCGCUGGGUAGCUAUGUGUGGCAGGGAUAAACGCUGAAAGCAUCUAAGCGUGAAGCCCCCCUCAAGAUGAGAUUUCCCAUUUCUUCGGAAAGUAAGAUCCCUGAAAGAUGAUCAGGUAGAUAGGUUUGGAGUGGAAGUGUAGCGAUACAUGGAGCGGACAAAUACUAAUCGAUCGAGGACUUAACCAA